CUCUGUCAGAUUCUCUGUAAAUGUGCCACUGCAGCAGCCCAAUAUCUCCCUAACAUCUCCUAAUAGAGGACUGGUCUGGGGUCCUGAAGGUGCAGAGGUCACUAGGGGCUACAGCUUUGUCUUGACCUGCUCCAUUAACUCCAACUAUCAUGAAGGCCGUUUCUUGCUCAUCUUCUCUGGCUCCAACAUCACCAACACCAAACCUGCAGUCAACCUCUCAGCCUCCUUUAACUACCCUGUAGCUGAGUAUGAACAUGAGGGCAACUACAGCUGUGUGUAUGAAGUCACUCUGUCCAGACUGAACUUCAGUUCACCAGAGACAGCACCGAUUACUGUUACCAUUAAAUUGCCGUUGUUGCUGCUGGUGUCCUCAGUAGCUGCUGGAAGUCUGCUGC